CCUACGGGAGGCAGCAGUCGAGAAUCUUUCACAAUGGGCGAAACCCUGAUGGUGCGACGCCGCGUGGGGGAAUGAAGUUCUUCGGAUUGUAAACCCCUGUUAUGUGGGAGCAAAUUAAAAAGCUAGUACCACAAGAGGAAGAGACGGGUAACUCGGGGCCAGAAGCUGCGGUACUACGGAGGGCUUAAGAGUUGUUCGGAAUCUCUGGGCUGAAAGUGUGCGGUGGGUGGUUUGUAAGUCGUGUGUGAAAGGCGCGGGCUCAAACCCCGGACGGCACUGGAUACUGGGAGACUAGAGUAAGAGAGGGGGAAGCGGAAUGCGCGGUGUAGCGGUGAAAUGCGUAGAGAUCGGGAAGAACA
rnacentral:rRNA from 1 species